rnacentral:lncRNA from 1 species
GAGAGGGAGAAGGGGAAGGAGGCACCCAAGACAGUUUGUAUAAGCCAGCUUCCUCAUUACCAAGAUCCAGAGGCCUCUUCAGAGAAGGGUCCUGUAUCAGGUGAAGUAAACAGGAAGUAGGAGUGAACAAAACUAUACAGUGCAAUUGUUUGAUCAACUUGUGAACAGAAAUCAAGUUGUGUUUAAAGGAAGGAACCAGAAGCACAUUGUGAAGGGUAAGGGAAGAAGUUAAUGCAAAAGAACCUGUACAAGUUACUUUUACUUGUAACCAUUAGGCAAAGUUACAAGAUAAGGAACAAUCAAAGGUAUGAUGUUAAAGAGUAGGUUUUUAUCAUGUGUCAUAUGAUUAGAUGCCCCUGAAUCAAUGAUCCAGGUAACAGAAUUAAUAUGUAUAAGCAUGCAUAAUUUGGAAUUAGAAACAACACUCUCAAUCAACAUAGUACCAGCAAAAUUAGCAGCACACAUGGGAGGAGGAGGUUGAUCACUGGAAUCCCCUGACUUGGUCUGUUGUAACAAGCUCAUCAAUUGAUCAUAGUGGAUGGGAGGAGGAGCUUGAUCACUGGUAUCCCCUGACUUGGUUUGUUGUAACAAGCUCAUCAAUUGAUCAUAGUGGUGUCUGCUCAACCCUAAUAUCACAGAGCUGUGACCAUCCAUGUGUGCAACAUGGUGAUGGCUGGCAGAAGGAUCCCCAAGAGGAACAGACAAAUUAGGAUUCCCAUGAUUNNNN